rnacentral:rRNA from 1 species
AGCGAACGCUGGCGGCAGGCUUAACACAUGCAAGUCGAGCGGGCACUUCGGUGUCAGCGGCAGACGGGUGAGUAACACGUGGGAACGUACCCUUUGGUUCGGAAUAACGCUGGGAAACUAGCGCUAAUACCGGAUACGCCCUUUUGGGGAAAGGCUUGCUGCCGAAGGAUCGGCCCGCGUCUGAUUAGCUAGUUGGUGGGGUAAUGGCCUACCAAGGCGACGAUCAGUAGCUGGUCUGAGAGGAUGAUCAGCCACACUGGGACUGAGACACGGCCCAGACUCCUACGGGAGGCAGCAGUGGGGAAUAUUGGACAAUGGGCGCAAGCCUGAUCCAGCCAUGCCGCGUGAGUGAUGAAGGCCUUAGGGUUGUAAAGCUCUUUUGUCCGGGACGAUAAUGACGGUACUGGAAGAAUAAGCCCCGGCUAACUUCGUG